UGGGAGAUCGUCCAACGGCAGGACAUGCGGCUCUGGACCGCAUUAUCGGGGUUCGAAUCCCUGUCUCCCAG
rnacentral:tRNA from 1 species